rnacentral:rRNA from 1 species
GACGAACGCUGGCGGCGUGCUUAACACAUGCAAGUCGAGCGGUAAGGCCCGUUCGGGGGUACACGAGCGGCGAACGGGUGAGUAACACGUGGGUGACCUGCCCUCAGCUCUGGGAUAAGCCUGGGAAACCGGGUCUAAUACUGGAUAUGACUCCAUGACGCAUGUUGUGGGGUGGAAAGCCUUGUGCGGCUGAGGAUGGGCCCGCGGCCUAUCAGCUUGUUGGGG